GCAUCGAUGACCAAGUGGUCUAAGGUGGCGGUCUCAAGUACCGUUCUCGAAAGAGGCGUGGGUUCGAACCCCACUCGAUGCA
rfam:Allomyces macrogynus ATCC 38327 genomic scaffold supercont3.21, whole genome shotgun sequence.